GAUGAAGAACGCAGCGAAAUGCGAUACGUAAUGUGAAUUGCAGAAUUCAGUGAAUCAUCGAGUCUUUGAACGCACAUUGCGCCCCCUGGUAUUCCGGGGGGCAUGCCUGUCCGAGCGUCAUUGCUGCCCUCAAGCACGGCUUGUGUGUUGGGCCUCCGUCCUCCUCCCGGGGGACGGGCCCGAAAGGCAGCGGCACCGCGUCCGGUCCUCGAGCGUAUGGGGCUUCGUCACCCGCUCUUGUAGGCCCGGCCGGCGCUUGCCGACACAUCAAUCUUUUUUCCAGGUUGACCUCGGAUCAGGUAGGGAUACCCGCUGAACUUAAGCAUAUCAAUAAGCGGAGGA
rnacentral:misc_RNA from 1 species